GACUGGGGCAGUGCAAGCCUCUUCCCCCACCAGGAGCUGAGAGCCAUGUGGAGGGAGCAGCCUGCAUUCUCAAGCGGUCUGGGGAGGCAUCAGGCAGGCAGCCCAGCCUGCCUUGGGGGUGCUGCAGCCUGCUGGCCAGGAAACACUUAGUGAAAUCUGGAGUGACUCCCCUGAGGACAGUGCCAUUGCAUUGAGGCACUCAGAAAUCAUGAUGAUGGGCCCGUGACAAGAACUCUGAUAGAAAUUAUACAUGUUUCCUCUUUAUUGGUG